rnacentral:lncRNA from 1 species
AUUGAAUCCCCGAGAGUAAUGAUCGAGCGUCGCUCGCAUUUAGGCUCGAAGGGGGGUUCAAUCCAUCAAACCCAUCCAAGGUUGCAUGAGUCAUAACCUGUUCGUACUCGCCGUCCCCAGAGCGGCCGAUCGGAAGAAACCUUGGCGCGCCAUUCACGACAAUUUCACAGUGAGCGAACCCAGAUGGGUUCAAAGCUCCAAUGUAAGUGUUCAAGUCGAGGUCCGGAUCUCGACUAGCAUCUAGAUCCACAGUAGGUGGCGGAGUUCUUUCAGAGCGCCGGCCCACUCUACGACGUGGAUUUGGAGCACCACGGUCCACAGUCAAGGUCUCCUCAAAGUUUAUAUUCAGAGGAGGAGGGACCCCUUCAUUUUCUU